GAUGAACGCUGGCGGCGUGCCUAAUACAUGCAAGUCGAGCGAACGGACGAGAAGCUUGCUUCUCUGAUGUUAGCGGCGGACGGGUGAGUAACACGUGGAUAACCUACCUAUAAGACUGGGAUAACUUCGGGAAACCGGAGCUAAUACCGGAUAAUAUUUUGAACCGCAUGGUUCAAAAGUGAAAGACGGUCUUGCUGUCACUUAUAGAUGGAUCCGCGCUGCAUUAGCUAGUUGGUAAGGUAACGGCUUACCAAGGCAACGAUGCAUAGCCGACCUGAGAGGGUGAUCGGCCACACUGGAACUGAGACACGGUCCAGACUCCUACGGGAGGCAGCAGUAGGGAAUCUUCCGCAAUGGGCGAGAGCCUGACGGAGCAACGCCGCGUGAGUGAUGAAGGUCUUCGGAUCGUAAAACUCUGUUAUUAGGGAAGAACAUAUGUGUAAGUAACUGUGCACAUCUUGACGGUACCUAAUCAGAAAGCCACGGCUAACUACGUGCCAGCAGCCGCGGUAAUACGUAGGUGGCAAGCGUUAUCCGGAAUUAUUGGGCGUAAAGCGCGCGUAGGCGGUUUUUUAAGUCUGAUGUGAAAGCCCACGGCUCAACCGUGGAGGGUCAUUGGAAACUGGAAAACUUGAGUGCAGAAGAGGAAAGUGGAAUUCCAUGUGUAGCGGUGAAAUGCGCAGAGAUAUGGAGGAACACCAGUGGCGAAGGCGACUUUCUGGUCUGUAACUGACGCUGAUGUGCGAAAGCGUGGGGAUCAAACAGGAUUAGAUACCCUGGUAGUCCACGCCGUAAACGAUGAGUGCUAAGUGUUAGGGGGUUUCCGCCCCUUAGUGCUGCAGCUAACGCAUUAAGCACUCCGCCUGGGGAGUACGACCGCAAGGUUGAAACUCAAAGGAAUUGACGGGGACCCGCACAAGCGGUGGAGCGUGUGGUUUAAUUCGAAGCAACGCGAAGAACCUUACCAAAUCUUGACAUCCUUUGACAACUCUAGAGAUAGAGCCUUCCCCUUCGGGGGACAAAGUGACAGGUGGUGCAUGGUUGUCGUCAGCUCGUGUCGUGAGAUGUUGGGUUAAGUCCCGCAACGAGCGCAACCCUUAAGCUUAGUUGCCAUCAUUAAGUUGGGCACUCUAAGUUGACUGCCGGUGACAAACCGGAGGAAGGUGGGGAUGACGUCAAAUCAUCAUGCCCCUUAUGAUUUGGGCUACACACGUGCUACAAUGGACAAUACAAAGGGCAGCGAAACCGCGAGGUCAAGCAAAUCCCAUAAAGUUGUUCUCAGUUCGGAUUGUAGUCUGCAACUCGACUACAUGAAGCUGGAAUCGCUAGUAAUCGUAGAUCAGCAUGCUACGGUGAAUACGUUCCCGGGUCU
rnacentral:rRNA from 1 species